CAUGUUAUUCAAUAUAACAUCAUAAAGUUGUUCGUCAGACCACAACCUUCUCCACUUUCUGGGCUCUUUGCUUGUGUAUUCUGCAACAAUAUUUCUUCCUAGCUCUUCCAACAAAUUAUGCAUUAGAAUCCUUCCAUCUUCAAUGCUUACAAGUGAUUUAUCAACGAGAACCCUUAGUCCAAUAUCAGCAUGAAAUUCACAACAAUUUAAAACAUUUUUAACAUAUUUCUCCGGAUAUUUGAUGAAAAAACAAACAAUAUGAAGAAAUAUUUCUUUUUCUGUCUCCCUUAGGUCAUCAAAACUUAAUCGCAACACAUCCAUGACAUCUUUUUCUGGACUUUCUCUCAAUCUUGCCAACGCACUGCUCCAUUCAGAUACAUCCCGACCAUACAAGAAUGAGCCCAAUACUUUAAUUGCUAGUGGAAGGCCAUUGACAUAAUCCAGUAUGUCAUUAACCAACCUUUCAUAACUACUCAAAAUGCGAUCAAGUUUGAAAGCUUUUCGACACAAUAAUUGAAGAGAGUUAGUCUGAUUCAAGAGAGGAACUUGGUAAACUGCAUCCACCCCAUACUGUUUCAAUAUAUGUUUAUCUCUAGAAAUGAUAAUGAUUCUACUACGGGCACCUAAGCAUUCACGAUACACAGCUAUUUUUUCUAGUUGUUCGACUUGACCUACAUUAUCAAGAAUGAUAAGGGCCCUUUGGCGACAUAGCCGUCGUAUCAGAUAGUUCGUUGUUGCAAUGAUUGCAUAUCUGAUGGUGUCUGUCCGAAGUUUUGAUUCUGAUUUGCUUUUGUUGCACCGAUUGACCAUUCAUGAUAGUCUAUAAAUUUUGCUUACUCAUCACAAAAACAACAUGCACGAAUAAGUUUGAGAGAUUCGAUUCAUAUAACAACAGUAGCAAGUAGUUGUCUUCCGUAUUUCCACCAUCCCGAUGCAAAUUUCUAUGACCGCAACAUCAUGCACGAGUCAAAAGUAAAAAGCUUUUGUUACAUUCUUGAUAGGAAGGAGAAUCCAUACCAACUAAAUCUUUUGAAACACAUGAAGAUUGGCAAUCCAGUAUAUUAAUUAUCUUUUGAACAAUCUCUUUAAUGGCGGCAGAUUGUGGCCUGAAAGUUCAUGGAAUUAGAGCAGUGACAGAAAAUCAUGACAUAGAGAAACCAAAAGAAAGUAGCAUAUGUGUGACUUACUUGUGACGCAGAUCCCAUCCAGAGAGAUUUGCAACCUGUGUUAGAGCUUCCCUCCAUCUUGACACCAUCUGAGAGUCAUGUUGAAAUCGUUGUCCAUGUUUGGAAAAGGCUUCCGCAUAACUUCCUUUUUGAUGUCUGACGUCAGAAGGAUCAACAUCAUAGAAAACAGGAAGAACGUGUUUUCCAGACAGUUGAAGGCAUUCACGUAUUUGAUCCAAUUCUUGCAAGCACCAGGUUGAGGAAGCAUAGUUGGUUGAGAAGACGACAACGAAGAUCUGAGAGUGUUGGAUUGCAUGAAGGAGCUCGGGUGCUAUGGAUCCACCUUUUGGAAGAUUAGUGUCAUCCCUAAAUGCAAAAAUGCCUUGUGUUUGAAAGGCUUGGAAAAGAAAAUCGGUGAAAUUGUUGCGAGUGUCUUCACCUCUGAAGCUUACAAACACAUCAUACUUAGAAUUUCUGAGAGCUGAAAUUGAGGAGUUUCUGCUACUGCUAGCCAUCUCAAUAAACAAGCAUACAGUGAGUGGGUAUCAACAGCGCUGUUGAUUUUUUUUCUCGGAAACUUGCUGUUGAAAUUUCAAGGAUUUUGUAAGAGAAUUCAACUGUUGGUUCUGUUAAUUGAAAAUUAAAAUUAUGUUUUUUUUCCUUCCAAAAUUAAUAGAUUUUAUUUUUUUUAGAGUCACUUUAGUGGUAGCUUUUAUUCCCAAUGUAUAAAUAUAUUUGCAUCAUUCCAAUUCAAAAUUAAUGCAAAAAUAUAUUCAUCCAAAAUAUUACUUUAUUCUCUCUAUUUUUCUCUCUCAACUUCAUCUUCUCCAAUAUUCUUUUCUUCCACCAUUGUUGAACCUUCAAAUUUUCAGUUUUAUGUUUUAUGUUCCAACAUUUGGCAUCAAGAGUCUUGGUUAUCGAUCCUAAUCCGCUGCAACAAUGACAACCGUUUCCAAUGAUCGAAUUCCCACCAAUCUCCCGAUUUUUGAUUCGAAGAACUAUGAUAAAUGGGCAAAACAAAUGAGGGUUUUGUUUGGUUAUCAAGAGGUGCUUGAGAUCGUCGUCAAUGGAGUUACACAAUUAGGGGCAGAGGCUACCGACAUUCAAAGAGCUACACACAAAGAAGAGAAGAAGAAGGAUUACAAAGCCCUAUUCUUGAUUCAUUCUUGUGUUGAUAACGACAAUUUCGAGAAGGUUGGCGAUUGUGAAUCGGCGAAGCAAGCAUGGGAAAUCUUGGAGAAAGCAUAUGCCGGUGCCGUCAAAGCGAAGGUUGUAAGGUUACAAACUUACAAGUGACAAUUCAAGUUAACACAAAUGGAAGAUAAAGAAACGAUCAACGACUACAUUACGCGCAUUACCCGGUUAGUUAAUCAAAUCAAAUCUUGUGGGGAAACGAUUCUUGAGCAGAAUGUUGUAUCGAAAGUAUUGCGUUCGUUAACGCCGCGUUUCGACAACAUAGUUGUGGCUAUUGAAGAAUCAAAGGAUCUAACAACUUUGAGCAAGGAUGAAUUGCAAAGUUCGUUAGAGGCACAUGAACAAAGGAUGGAUGAGAGAGGCGCCGACAAAGCCAAAGCGGAGAUUGCUUUGCAAGCGCGUUUCAAUGAGAAGAAUAAGAGGUCGAAAGGAAAAUUUGCGGCGAGAGGUAAAUCAAAUUUUCAGAAUUUUGGUUCAAAUGAUUCGCAAAAUUCAAAGCAUUCGACGAGUGAAAAGGGUGAAAGUAGCUCCAAGGAUAGUGGUCAUAGCAAUGGUUUCAAGAAGCGUGAUGUGAGUAAGGUGCAAUGCUACAAGUGCAGAAAGUUUGGACACUUUGCAAAUUCGUGUCGUGGUAAAUCGAAUGAGAAUCACAAUAAUGAAGCCAAGGUUGCUAGGGAAGAGGUAGAUGAUGAGGACACACUUCUAGUAAUGAUCACGGAGGGGAGUUAUGGCAUUACGGAUGUUCCGGGCAGCAGCUACAGCAGUGAAAGUUUGCGGGACAGCAGCUGUACUGUUCCGGAAAAUAGCGAGAAAAUGCAUUCGGAUCGAAAUGCGUUGGUUACCGUUCGUGAUGGAGUCCAAGGGAGAGAUGAGUGGUACUUGGAUUCCGGUUGUUCAACACAUAUGACGGGUCGAAAAGAUUGGUUUGUGCAAAUCAAUCAAGCGGCAAAAAGUAAAGUCAAAUUUGCCGACGACACCACUUUAAGCGCCGAAGGGGUAGGAGAUGUUUUGAUCGGAAAAAGGAAUGGUGGACAUUCAAGGAUCAAAGAUGUCUUGUAUAUACCGGGAAUUAAGUGUAAUCUUUUAAGCAUUGGCCAAUUACUUGAAAGAGGAUACAAAAUUCGGUUGGAGGACAAGAUUUUACGCGUUUUGGAUUCAAAUGGUGUGUUGAUUCUAAAAGCGCCGAUGGCUGCCAACAGAACCUUUAAGGUUGAGUUAAAGGUUAUGGAGCAUCGUUGUCUAGCUACCGCGGCAAGUAGAGAUGAGUGGUUAUGGCAUUACCGUCUUGGUCACCUUAAUUUUAGGGAUCUAAGAAAGUUGCAACAAAGUGAAAUGGUAACGGGGCUGCCACACAUUAGUAUUCCAACUGAAUUGUGUGAGGAAUGUGUGAAGGCUAAACAACACAAGAAUGUGUUUAGCAAAGAUGCGGGUCGAAGAACCAAAGGCUUACUUGAGGUGGUAUGUUCCGACGUUUGCGGACCGAUGCAAGUAGAGACUUAUGGUGGCAAUCGAUAUUUUGUUACGUUCAUUGACGAUUUUAGUAGGAAGCUUUGGACAUAUCUUAUCAAGAGAAAAGAUGAGGUAUUUGGAGUUUUCAAGAAUUUCAAAUCCAUGGUGGAGCGCCAAAGCGGUCGGAAGCUCAAAAUUCUCAAAACGGAUGGUGGAGGUGAGUAUGCCUCUAGUGAGUUUGGGAAGUUUUGUGAUCUUGAGGGAAUUGUACGUGAGGUGGUGCCUCCGUAUACGCCUCAACAAAACGGGGCUGCCGAGAGGAAAAAUCGUAUAAUAAUGAACAUGGUGCGUAGUAUGCUUUGUGGGAAGAAUUUGCCUAAGGAAUUGUGGGGUGAGGCCGUGUCUACAACCACCUACUUGUUGAAUAGGUGUCCCACUAAGAAGCUGGAGAAACUCACACCGGAAGAGGCUUGGAGUGGCUUCAAACCAAAUUUGAAUCAUUUGCGCGUUUUUGGAUCGAUUGCAUAUCGUCAUGUACCGGACCAACUUCGGAAGAAAUUGGAUGAUAAGGGUGAGAAGCUGAUAUUUGUAGGAUAUCAUUCUACUGGAGGCUACAAGUUGUUCGAUGGAAGAAAUCGGAAGGUCGUCAUAACCCGGAAUGUGACUUUUGAUGAAGUAAAAAAUGCAGAAAAUGUUGCAGUAACCGGUUACCCAAAUAGCAGUAACCGGUUACUCACAAAAAAUACAGCAGUAACCGGUUACCCAAAUAGCAGUAACCGGUUACACAGAGAAGAUUUGCAGCAACAACAGUUUUUUGAAUUCUCUGAUCCUGAGGCUAAUGACACAGCUGUACCAGCACCUACAGUAGCGCAAAACGAUGUUGUUAAUGAUGGUAGACCAGUGAGGCAAAGAGCCUUGCCUCAUAGACUCCGAGAUUAUGAAAGUUUCCGAGAUAACGAAGUGAAUAACGAUGGUGACUUUGUUCAUUUCGCGCUUAUGACCGAAUCUGAACCGGUAAAUGAGGAAUAAGACUUAAGUGAUCCUAAGUGGAUAUGUGCAAUAAAAGAGGAGCUGGAAUCUAUUGAGAAAAACGGUACUUGGGAGUUGGUUGAUUUACCACUUAGAAAGAAACCGAUAGGUGUGCGAUGGGUCUAUAAGGUUAAAGCAAAUCCCAAAGGUGAAGUAAUCAAGCACAAAGCUCGAUUAGUGGCGAAGGGGUUCUUGCAACGAGAAGGUAUAGACUAUGAGGAGGUAUUCGCACCGGUAGCUAGAUUAGAGACUAUUCNUUACCCAAAAGCAGUAACCGGUUACCUCACAAAAAUACAAGCAGUAACCGGUUACCCUAAAUGGCAGUAACGGUACCACAAGAAGAAGAUUAUGCCUGCACCGGUUUUAGUGAAGCCCAUUUUGAUUCUCUGAUCUGAGGCUAUGACAAGCUGUACUACCAGCCACUACAGAGCGCCAACGAUGUUGUUAAUGAUGGUGACCAGUGAGGCAAGAGCCUUGCUCAUAGAUCCUACGAUUAUGAAAGUUUCCGAGAUAACGAAGUGAAUACUGAUGGUGCUUUGUUCAUUUUCGCGCUUAUGAACCGAAUCUGAAACGGUAAAUGAGGUAAUAGACUUAAGUGAUCCUAAGGGAUUGUGCCAAAUAAGAGGAGUGGAAUCUAUUGAGAAAAAACGGUAUAUUGCGACGUUGGUUGAUGAACCAUUAGAAAAACGAUAGGGUGUGCGAUGGUCAUAAGGUUAAGCAAAUCAAGGUGAAGUAAUCAAGCACUCAAGCUCGAUUAGUGGCACAGGGGCCGGUUCUUGCACGGAGGUUGACUAUGCGGGGAGUAUUCGCACCGGUAGCUAGAUUGAGACUGAUUCGUUGUAUGUUGGUAGUGGCCAUAGCAACAACUGGUAGGUUUACCAAAAUGGUUGUCAAAUCUGGUUUUUGAACUGUGUCCUCUCUGUUGACGAAGUCUUUGUGGGGGCCACCCGGUUCGUUAAAGAUCAAGAGAUAAGUAUUACAGCUAACAAGGCCGUGUUCGGUUUGAAAGCCAAACUCAAAGUGAACAAACGUCGAAUGUGACGGAUUUCUUUGAAUUGGUUCUGCAACAAUGUGUAUCCGAACUGGGUUUAUGAUGAGAUCGAAGUUACGAUGAUGGUUGUGUUAACUCUUGAGCUGUGUUGAUGAUCUCUUGAUACGGGAAGCAUGACAAGAGUGUUUCAAGAUUCAAAGUGAGCUCAUGAGAGCAGUUUAAGUAUGACGGACCUUGGUGUCGAUGGAAUUAUCUUCCUUGGCAUAGCGUUUCACAAGUCAAAAGUGGGUCUGCUUAGCACCAAAGGAGGUAUGCUCUAGAUAUUUGAAAAGUGUGAUAUGGAGCCAUUGUAAUGCUUGUAUUACACCUUGUGAGGCUAGAGUGCAGCUGUCCAAAAGUGAUGAGGAGGAUGAUGUCGAUCCAACGCUUUACCGGAGCUUGAUUGGAUCGUUACGGUAUUUGUGCAAUACGCGGCCGGAUUUGGCUUUUAGUGUCGGUAUUGCGAGUAGAUUCAUGGAGAGAUCGAAGGUGUCUCACUUGGCGGCGGUCAAGAGGAUCCUUAGAUAUGUGAAAUGUACUCUUGGUUGCGGAAUUCUCUUUCCCGCAUCGGACACGGGGCGUAAGUGCAAUUUAUUUGGCUACACCGAUUCCAAUUGGUGCGGAGAUAAAGAUGACCGAAAAUCGACGGCGGGGUACAUCUUUAUGUUUGGUAGUACACCAAUCUCUUGGUGUUCGAAAAAGGAACCGGUUGUAGCACUUUCUUCUUGUGAGGCCGAGUACAUUGCGGCGUCGUUAGGUGCGUGCCAAGCUAUGUGGCUUAUGAAUCUAUUGAAGGAAUUGGGAUAUGGUGAUGAUGCUGCCACCGCACUGUUUGUAGAUAAUGUUUCCGCAAUAAAUCUUGCGAAGAACCCGAUUGCACACGGAAGGAGCAAGCAUAUUGAGAUGCGGUUUCGUUAUUUGAGGGAAUUGGUUGGUGAUGCAAAGCUUAGAUUGAGCUAUUGCCGAAGCGAAGACCAAGUCGCGGAUUUGUUGACAAAGGGUGUGACAAAUGAUGUGUUCAAGAGGCUAAAGAAGUGCUUGAGCAUGGUGGACUUGGAGAAACUAAAGUGAGGUGAUGUGUUAAUUGAAAAUUAAAAUUCUGUUUUUUUUCCUUCCAAAAUUAACAGAUUUUAUUUUCUUUAGAGUCACUUUAGUUGUAGCUUUUAUUCCCAAUGUAUAAAUACAUUUGUAUCAUUCCAAUUCAAAAUUAAUGCAAAAAUAUACUCAUCCAAAAUAUUACUCUAUUUUCUCUAUUUUUCUCUCUCAACUUCAUCUUCUCCAAUAUUCUUUUCUUCCACCAUUGUUGAACCUUCAAAUUUUCAGUUUUUAUGUUUUAUGUUCCAACAGGUUCAAUAAUGCAUUUAUUAAAACACGUUACUAGUACUUCUUUAACAACCUUGAGGUGGGUCAUUAUGGUUCAAUUUUUUCCUAAUUUAUCUUGCUACUAAUGUCACCUCGUAGUUUUAAAUUGUCAAAACUAAGUCCGACUAAAAAUUGAAUGAAAUUUUCUUUCAAAAUUUUUUGGGUAGACAAAAUCAAAAUUUUUGGUACAAUCUAAAGUUUUGUAGUGUAUUAUAAAUUUUUGGUGUAGCAGAAACUUUGAAAUUUUUUAGAAAUUGCAAACGUUAUCGGAAAUUUCAAAUUUACAAUUUUAUAUUAGAAAUUUCAACCUAAGUGAAAUUUCUGAUAAUAUUAUUUGUUUAAAAUUUUAAACGUUCAGGAUUUUGUCGACAAUUUUAAAUGGAUGUUAUUACACCGACAGUUUUUGUGUGGUCUAGAGUAAACACAAAGUUGUUUAAAUAGGGGGGGUCACCUGUUGUUUGAUAAAAACAUUUCAAAAAAUGUCUCUUCCUCAAUUUUUGAUUAAAACAGAAGUUUACUUCAACGGAGCUUCACGUCCUGUAGAGUUCCGACUUUUGAAUGGCACUGCAUCUCUCGCCACCUUAACAACCAAGUUGAAUGAAUUAUUGCCUGAUAUCGAAAACAGAAAGGUGAGAAAGAUUGAGUUUCGUGAAGAUUGGAUUGAAACUGACGGGAGGGUGAAAUACAACCUUAUUGAGUUGAAGAUCGAUGAAGAUGUGAAGGAUAUGUGGAGAUCAUUUCAUUGUAGGUUAACAAAGGGGCCUAUCGAGCUAGAUGUUAAGAUUUUAAAGUCCACUGACGACAUAAUUAAGAUGAUGAAACGUCCAUAAUCAUCUGGUAGUAUCUAGGUUUUCUUAUUUAUUAUCGUUUUUUAAGUUAUGUAAUCCAUUGUCAAAUGUUAGUUUAUAUUGAUGUUGCAUUAAUGAGAGAUCAAAAAUAUCAUCUAAUAAAAAGUUAUGAUGAAGAUGUCUGAGUAAUAUACAAAUAAUACAAAUAAAAUAUAAUAUAGAAAAGACGUCUAAAUAGCCCCCCAGGCUAUGUGUGCAGUCCAAGAUAACCUAGUAUAAACCUCGUUAUUGGUUCCUGACUUUAAAUGCAAUCUGAUUUCAAUUCAUAAACUAACAUAUGAUUUAAAUUGUUAUGUGAUUUAUAAUCAAAAUUCUUGCACAAUACGGGACCUAGCCUCGAAGAAGAAGAUUGGAUCAGGUGAUCUGCAUGAAGGGGUUUAUGUGUUCAUAAAGCAUCAUCAACAAGGCUUCAUGGGUGCAACUAAGAAGAACAUGGCAACCUUAUGGCACAUCAGAAUGGGACAUACCUCAAAUCAAGUCCUUCAGUGUACUUCACAUUUAGUCAAAUGCAACUUUGAUAGAGCAAACUGUUGUGAUGUAUGACACAAGGCAAAGCAAUGUAAAAACGUUUUCCUUUUAAGUAUUAAUAAAACUGAAGAACCUUUUGAAUUGAUUUGUUGUGACUUAUGGGGAAAAUAUCAUACUGCCACAAACAGUGGAUCACAUUAAUUUCUAACUAUUGUAGAUGACUACACUCGUGGCACAUGGGUAUAUUUAAUGAAACACAAGACAUAAACUUUACAAUAUUUGAUUAGUUUUGCCAAUCUAAUCAAAAGGAAGUUUAAUAUGCAUAUUAAGAGGAUUAGGAGUGAAUAUGGGACGGAGUUUACUAACUCUGAUUUCAGGUGCUUCACUAAAACAUAAAGGAUCAUGCAUGAAACUUCUUGUGUUGCCACACCUCAACAGAAUGGACAUGUGGAACGCAAGCAUAGACAAACUUUGAACAUAGCACGAGCCUUGCGUUUUCAAGAAAAUCUCCCUUUGCAUUUUUUGGGAGAUUGUGUGUUGACAUUAGCGUAUAUAAUCAAUAGAACCCCUACAUUGGCAAAUAAGGGAGUCACUCUAUACGAUUUACUUUUUAAGAGAGCAUCAAACUAUGAACACUUGAGAACUUUUGGAUGCUUGUGCUAUAAGAAAAAUGACUCAAAGGGAAUCCGUAAAUUUGAUCCCGGAGUUGAAAGAUGUAUUUUUAUUGGUUAUCCACAACGACAGAAGGGAUGGAAAGUUUACAAUCCAAAGACUCUUGAAUGCUGCAUAUCGAGAGAUGUAGUGUUUUAUGAGCAUAUUUUUCCUUAUCAUGUACAAGACAAUAAUGGGUCUACUAAUUUUUGAAAUAACUCAUCAAGUGAUAACCUCAAUGAUGAGUUUCCACUCUAUAAUGAUGCAGAAUUGGAAGUACCAAACCUUGGGGAAAUUCCUCAUAAUGACCAAACAUCAGGUCAUAUGAAAAAUUUACCCAUUAAGGGGCCUGAAUACACAAGUCAAGUUGAGAGUGAGCCUAUAGAGCAAGAUCAUGUAUCCAUAGAUGACGUGAAUGAGGAACUCACCAAUGAUUCUAAAAAAUAAUCAUCAAGUGAAAUUGAAGGAGAAGUCUCAGAUGAGGGGGAGCCUCAGAACAUGCCACGCAUAAGACAACCUCCAAAUUAUCUAAAAGACUAUGAUUGUGGCAAACUAAACAUAAAUCCCAAGUGCAUGACAUCAAUUCCAGAGUCCUCUUCAGGUGUCACAUAUCCCAUCUCAAAAUUUUUAAAAUAUGAUAAGUUUUCACAAAAAGAUAUAGCUUACCUUGAAGCCAUCACUAAUAACAAAGAACCUCGAUCAUAUACCAAAGCAGUCAAGCACACAAUUUGGAGGGAGGCCACAACUUAAGAAAUAAAGGCUCUAGAAGACAAUGAGACAUGUGAACUAACUCAUUUACCGCAAGAAAGAAAAUUGAUAGGAUGUAGAUGGGUGUACGAAAUCAAACAUAAAGCUACAGGUGAGAUUGAAAAGUACAAAGGUCAGAUUAGUUGCUAAAGCUUACACACAAAUAGAAGGUGAGGACAUUAAUGAAACUUUUUUGCACCAGUGGCCAAAAUGACCACAGUCAAAUGCUUGUUAACAGUUUCAAUGGCGAAAGAAUGGAAUUUACAUCAAAUGGAUGUUAGCAAUGCCUUCUUGCAUGGAGAAUUGAUAGCAGAAGUAUAUAUGAGUCCUUCACAAGGAUAUAAAGUUCAAACAAAGAUUUGGUAUGCAGAUUAAAGAAGUCAUUGUAUGGUUUGAAACAAGCAUCUAGAAAUUGGUAUAGCAAGCUAUCUCAAUCUUUGAUAAAAUAUGGUUUCCAAGACAAUCAGUACGAUCGUAGUCUAUUUACUUAUUCACAUGGAUCAAUUUUUCUUGUUGUUUUAAUCUAUAUUGAUGACUUGAUCAUUGCUAGUAAUGACCUUGAGGCCUAUGACCAGUUCAAGCAAUAUCUAAGUCAAUGUUUCCACAUGAAGGAUCUUGGUUCGCUUAAAUACUUUCUAGGACUAGAACUAGCAUGAGGGUCAGAAGGGAUGUUCACUUGUCAAAGAAAAUAUGUCUUAGCCAUUCUACAAAAAUGUGAAAUGUUUGGUUGUAAGCCUUCUUUGUUUCCAAUGGAACAAAAUUACAAACUUGUUUUUGCCAAAGGACCUCCACUCUUAGAAUCAUCAAGGUAUAUGAGAUUAGUUGGACGUUUGAUUUACUUAACUAUCACUAGGUUUGAAUUAACCUACUCAGUUUAUAUUCUAAGUCAAUUCAUGCAAACUCUACUCUAAGACCAUUGGGAUGCUGCUAUACGAGUCUUACGAUAUCUCAAAUCUUCUUCUGGUCAAGGUAUCCUUCUUCCACAACAUAAUGAUCUACAGUUUGUUGGCUACUGUGGCUCAGAUUGGGCAUCGUGUCCUAUUACCAGAAAGUCCAUCUCAGGUUAUCUAAUGAAACUUGGCAAUGCUCCAAUAUCAUGGAAAACAAAGAAACAAGCCACAGUCUCUCAAUCCUCAAGUGAGGCUGAAUAUCGUACAAUGGCACAUGCCACAAGUGAAAUACUAAGCCUACGUAAUUUGUUAGAGACUCUACAAGUUCCAUGCAUCAAACCCACGCUUCUGCAUUGUGAUAAUCAAGCAGCUCUUCAUUUAACUGCAAACCGGUCUUCCAUGAAAGAACAAAGCACAUUGAAAUUGACUGUCAUUUUAUCAGGGAACACAUACACAGUCAGGUGCCAUAAGCACAACUUAACUGCCCACCAAAAAACAAAAUACUGACAUUUUUACUAAGUCAUUAGGCGUGAAAGUUUUUCAAGACCUCAUGUUUAAGUUGGAUGUUCAUAAUCCUCACCCUCCAACUUGAGGGGGAGUAUUAGAGAUAAAUUUAAUAGUUUGUUGUUAGUUUAUUAGGGUUGAUCCUAUUUUCAAGCUCUGAGAGAUAGAUCAUCAGCCUAUAUGUAAAGGUACGUCAUGUGUCAUCAAAAACAAUAAGAAUACAACAUAGUUUUCAAGUUAACUUUCUAUUACUUUGAUUUUCAAGAAAUGACUAGAAGAUUGUACAGUAUCCGGAAACUAAUCUGAGAGUGGAGGGGAAGUUGCCUGAUUUGAAUCUGCAAAUCCAGAAAGUUUAAUGUCAGACUUGGAAGUAUAAAACAAACAUUUACCUUGAGAAUUUUUGAGGUACUGAAGAAUGCAAAUUGUAUCUUGAUAGUGACCUUGCCUGGACGAGAAAAAAUCAAAGUAGGAACAUGUAGACCUCAUCUUGAGGCUCUCCAUGCAAACAAGUAUUAUUUGCAUCUAAUUUUUCAAGAAUCCAACCUUUAAUAGAGGCUAAAGCUAUUUAAAGUUCUAACAGUGAGUUAAAUUGACAAACCAAAGAGAGCGAGAGAGUAUCAAAAAGUAAGUAAACUCAUUGAGUGUACCUUUGACAACAAGUCUGGUUUUAUAAACUUUCAUAGAGCCAUCAUUUUGACCAACAGGUAAAUCUAAAAUGAGAUCAGAUGUUGAUGUUAUGAUCAGCUUCUAAUUCAGCUUUCAUAGCAUUGUUACCACGUUCAAUCUGUAAGCUUGGCUAAAAGUUUAGUUCAAAAAUGGAAGAGAUGGAUAAAUAUAAUUUUUUAAUAGGGAUUACAAUGAUCAUAAGUUAAAACCGAAAAAUAAAGGAAAAAUCUACACUGGACUUGAACUGCCUAAUGAUUCCAACCUUCAAAUGAAACUUGCCGUAGUUCCAUUCAGAUAACUUAUUUGUGCUAGCGAUUGUGGCCGUGCCUCGUUUUCAAUUGCCAAAAGAGUUGCAGGUCUGAGCUUAUGACUUUCUCUUCUCUGCAACUCAUCAUUGCUAAAUGAGCCAAAUGGUUGUUGAAUCCUGUUUAAAUAUCCAACGAUAGCCACAGUUCUUUACCACCUGAUGCAAGCCUUGCCACUCAUAACGGAUCCCAUUUUGCCCCUUGAUGACCUUUGAGUGACAACAGAAAUGAAAAUCAAGUCAAUGUUUCUUCUCUUGUUAUCCAUUCUGUUGAGACUCUUUCCUGACCUUCUUGUACAUGUGUUGUCUCAACUGUCUCCUAGGAAUCACAAUGAAAAUUGGUUAAGAGUAAUUGAUAAAGGUGAAGCAAGUUUAAUAAAUUUAAAGAGCAUACCAGAUAUAUAGUAUAGAAAUAUAAAUUAAAGAAAUAAACUGCAUUUGAGUAAGUACAUAUUCUGCAGUUGAGCAUUUGUUCUCACCUUAUUACCAACAAAUAAAGUGAACUGUAAUUUACUCUGACAGUUUUGAAGUUAGAUGGAAGUGUAACCAAAAUGCUGUUCCAAUAGCUUAUUAAUCAGAUGAAUCAUUGAGUAUGCAUCUAAUCUUCAAUUGCCUAAACUAAGGAUAUUUUUGUGAUGCAUCUGUUGUAAAUAUUCUUCCUCUUCACAAUUAACUUAUCAUAUUCCAAGGAUGAAAAUUUUCUAUGUUGAUAAGCAUUUGUUUUUACCUGGUUACCCGCCAACGAAGUGGACAGGAAAAUAGUCUGACAGUUUUGAAAUUUGAUGAAAGUGUAUGUGAAUGUAGUUUCUACUACUUAGAUUUAUCUCAUCAGGUGAAUGAAUGUAGUUGUGGUUGUGCCUCAUCUUCAAUUACGCUUGAGAGCUAACAUAUGAAUGAAUGUAGUUGUGGUUGUGUCUCAUCUUCAAUUGCGCUUGAGAGCUAACAUACUACUGGAAGAGUUAACUCCCCUGUGAUACUUUUAUUUUGCACAACAAUUGCAUAUAGAUAAUAUUUCAAUGUUAGGAGACUCAAAUUAUCCACAAGUAUCAUUGGGGAGAUAAUUCUUCCAGUAGACUGCAAGGAAUGUUGCUUCUGGUAGCAGAAAGCACAAAUAACACAGUACCCAUUAUGACAUUUUAUAUAUAAAUAAUUGCUGAGUUAAUUUUUAUGAGGAAUAAUCCUUGUUCAAAAUCAAACUCCACUUAUAUUGACUCCUGAUGCAUCAUUUUAACAUGUCUUCAAAUAUUUUCUGCUUUGUCAAAAAUCAUUUUCUAACUUGAGGGACUUGCAUUACUGGAACGACUGUAGGUGAUAUCAUGAGCAAUAUGACUUGAAUGAAACAUGAAAAAGUAACCAAAAAGAAAUGCCAUAUUAUUAUAUGCAAAAAUAUGGAUCCAAAUACAAAUACAGUGAAAACAUUAUUGGACAAAAGUACCUACCAAAAUCGUAUUAUCCUUAUGUAAACAUUACACCUUAAUCUAACAAGCUUCUAUUAGCUUCAGACCCCCAUUUUCCCACUUGCGGGUCUUCUUGUGACAAGGGAGAUGAAAAUCAAGUCAAUGUUUCUUCUUGGUUAUCCAUUUUGGUUGUACCUCAUCUUCAAAUAUCUAAAAAACUUGUGCUUUAAUGAACACUAUUUUGAGUUGAGCCUUGGUAGAAAUCGUUGUUUAUCGAUACCCGCAUUUCUUCACCUCCACAUCCAAGCCUCCAACGCAUUUAGUUUUAACAUGGAAAGGAGCAUACAAAUCAUCAUAAGAUGACUUCCAAGGGAAAUAGAUUAGCCAGAUGUGAUUUGAUGCGACAGUAAUAAGAUUUCCAUCUAAAUUUACCGGAAGAAAGACAAUGUUGUUUAAUGCAUACAGUUCCAACCGGGCCGAAGAUCUUGUCGUUGUUGGAUAACAAUGCGCUAAAGAAAAUACUGCACAACAUAAAAAGCCAACGAUAUUAUUGCCCUUGUCCCUCAUAACAGGAGAUACGGGAAUUGAACUAUCAACGCUCUGAUUGUUGAACAAACUUGGUAUUUCACUUCCUGGACUGACAAUACCAAUGUUAAAGAAGGCAGGGCGUUCGUUGUUCAUUUGAAUGAAUUGUGUCAUCCAUGAGAAUGUCAUUCUACUGCAUCUUUCCGUAUCACUUAUUUUAGGACAGUUGAAAAUGAACAAUCCUGCUCUCUUCCAAUAUCUGUUCUUUCGAAGAUCCUGCUCGAUAGUAGAAGGGAAAGGAAGCUCGGGCAAAGAUUCCAACCGCUUGCAGUCCUCCAAGUUCAAAUGUACAAGUUUGGAAAGCUCCCUAAGGCUAGGCAGUGUCACAAAAUUGUUCCCCCCAAGAUUUAACAUUUCUAACCAACGUAAACAUCCAAUAGCCUCAGGGAGUUGGCUUAAACCACAACAGCUAAUAUCAACUUCACGUAAACAAUAUAUGCUAAGCAAGGAAGGAAACAUAACAGUGUUUGUUGUGGGAGUGGGAAGCAAGGAAUGGUAAGGCUUUGGGGUCCAUUUGCAGAUGGAGGACAUUGAUUGGGAAUGUGAAGCACUUUCACUUAUAUCCAAAUGCCUUGUGUUGUUAAACUCUUUGAACCAACACCCAGAACACCCAUGCAUUUUUAGAACUAUAAGAGACCUGAGACCAAAUAUGUUGUUGGGUAUGCUUACUAAACUUCGGCAAUAUCUUAAAUUCAAGUAAACAAUCUUUUUUAGAAGCCCAAUAGAUGGAUCCAACUGCACAAGUUGUAUACAUCCUUUUAGAUUUAGCCGCUCGAGAUUUGGGAACUCUCCAAAAUCUGGUAUCUUUAUUAGAUUCUCGGAGUAGCUCAGAUCCAAAAUUCUCAAUUUGGGCAGAUUCUGUGGGAAAGAUCAACAAAAGUCAAGGCAUUAUUUUCUUUUGUUUACAAAUUUACCUUCAAAAGGUGGAAAUAAAUGAACUGUUUCAAUUUUCUGAGAAAAAAAUAAUAUGAGAAUUUAAAAUACCUUCUUGCCUUCCCAGAGUUGUUUGAUGCUGCUAAUUUUCUUUUGUUUACAAAUUUACCUUCAAAAGGUGGAAAUAAAUGAACUGUUUCAAUUUUCUGAGAAAAAAAUAAUAUGAGAAUUUAAAAUACCUUCUUGCCUUCCCAGAGUUGUUUGAUGCUGCUACACUUCAAUCUCAACUCAACAAGUUGAUUGGGCUGAAAACUUGAUGGCAAAUACAUGAAAGGAUAAUAACUCAAUUCAAUAUAUCUCAAUUUGUUAGAAAGAUGAUUGAGGCUUCUUGAUGCAUUCAUUUCAUGGACGAUGAGCAAUCUAAGAUUUGAAAAGUCUUCGAAUAUCACUGCAUCCACAUAUUCAUAAUUCAAAACUAUGGCUUCAACAUUCUUUUCCUAAAGCAUAGCAGAAAAUGAAGAAAAAAGAACUUCAAUAAUUUGCAAUACAGUUAGUAUUUAAAAAUGGAAAUGAGUUUUUCGUAUCCAAACAACUACUUUACCAUAUUUUCCAACAUAACAUCAUAGAAUUGUUUUUUGAACCACAGCCUUCUCCACUUUCUGGGCUCUUUGCUUGUGUAUUGUGCAACAAUAUUUCUUCCUAGCUCUUGCAACAAAUUAUGCAUUAGAAUCCAUCCAUCUUCAAUGCUUACAAGUGAUUUAUCAACGAGAACCCUUAGUCCAAUAUCAGCAUGAAAUUCACAACAAUUUAAAACAUUUUUAACAUAUUUCUCCGGAUAUGUGAUGAAAAAACAAGCAAUAUGAAGAAAUAUUUCUUUUUCUGUCUCCCUUAGGUCAUCAAAACUUAAUCGCAACACAUCCAUGACAUCUUUUUCUGGACUUUCUCUCAAUCUUGCCAAUGCACUGCUCCAUUCAGAUACAUCCCGACCAUACAAAAAUGAGCCCAAUACUUUAAUUGCUAGUGGAAGGCCAUUGACAUACACCAGUAUGUCAUUAACCAACCUUUCAUAAGUACUCAAAAUGUGAUCAAGUUUGAAAGCUUUUCGACACAAUAAUUGAAGAGAGUUAGUAUGAUUCAAGAGAGGAACUUGG
rnacentral:lncRNA from 1 species